AGAAGUAGAAUGGUUGGUUACAAUAAUGGAUCUAAUUCAGCCGAUGAGUUCCACCUUAUUUUGCCUAUUCAAGAGACAUCUGAUGGGAGAAGUUAUCUUAAUGAUGAUCUAGAUGAUGACGAAAUGUAUUUCCCAGUGCAUAAGGAGGAGUCCGUUGAAGAUGAUUUUCUUAGUCAGUUAGAAAACAGCAAAAUAAAUAGAUCUUUAGAUAAAUAGUACUACCCAGCAAACAAUACGUAAUAUUUAAUGAAAUAGAUUUAGUUGACAUAUAUGUAAUUUUAAUUUCUUAAUGGGUGUUUUAUCAUUAAUGUUCAUUCAAAAAAUACAAUUCUUGCCAGCACUAAA